rnacentral:rRNA from 1 species
GACGAACGCUGGCGGCGUGCUUAACACAUGCAAGUCGAACGGAAAGGCCCUGCUCUUGUGGGGUGCUCGAGUGGCGAACGGGUGAGUAACACGUGAGUAACCUGCCCUUGACUUUGGGAUAACUUCAGGAAACUGGGGCUAAUACCGGAUAGGAGCUCCUGCUGCAUGGUGGGGGUUGGAAAGUGUCGGCGGUUGGGGCUGGACUCGCGGGUUAUCAGCUGGUUGGUGGGGUAGUGGCUUACCAAGGGUUUGACGGGUAGCCGGCCUGAGAGGGUGACCGGCCACCUUGGGACUGAGAUACGGCCCAGACUCCUACGGGAGGCAGCAGUGGGGAAUAUUGCACAAUGGGCGGAAGCCUGAUGCAGCAACGCCGCGUGCGGGAUGACGGCCUUCGGGUUGUAAACCGCUUUCGCCUGUGACGAAGCGUGAGUGACGGUAAUGGGUAAAGAAGCACCGGCUAACUACGUG